CCUUGUACACACCGCCCGUCACACCAUGGGGAGUGGGUUGCAAAAGAAGUAGGUAGCUUAACCUUCGGGAGGGCGCUUACCACUUUGUGAUUCAUGACUGGGGUGAAGUCGUAACAAGGUAACCGUAGGGGAACCUGCGGUUGGAUCACCUCCUUACCUUAAAGAA
rnacentral:rRNA from 1 species